UACGUAGGGGGCAAGCGUUGUCCGGAAUCAUUGGAGCGUAAAGCGCGUGUAGGCGGUCCGGUAAGUCGGCUGUGAAAGUCCAGGGCUCAACCUUUGAAUGCCGAUGGAUACUGUCGAGCUAGAGUCCGGAAGAGGCGAGUGGAAUUCCUGGUGUAGCGGUGGAAUGCGCAGAUAUCGGGAGGAACACCAGUGGCGAAGGCGACUUCCUGGUCUGUUCUUGACGCUGAGGCGCGAAAGCUAGGGUAGCAAACGGG
rnacentral:rRNA from 1 species